rnacentral:rRNA from 1 species
UACGGAGGGGGCAAGCGUUAUUCGGAAUUAUUGGGCGUAAAGGGCGCGUAGGCGGCCGUUCAAGUGGCGGGUGAAAUCCCUCGGCUUAACCGAGGAACUGCCUGCCAGACUGGAUGGCUUGAGACCGGGAGAGGUGAGUGGAAUUCCCAGUGUAGCGGUGAAAUGCGUAGAUAUCAGGAGGAACACCGAUGGCGAAGGCAGGUCUCUGGGCUGACACUGACGCUCAUGCACGAAAGCGUGGGGAGCAAACAGG